CGUAGAUACGAGGCUGAGAAAUGCAUCAAGAGUGACCCCUGUAGAAGUGGACACAAGCAUUUGGAAGCAGACCCAAUUUAUCCUUCCAUUGGUGAAGCACCUGUGUGGUAUCUGGGAUAGAGAUCAGUGCCCAGCCACCAGCCGCGAAUCCAGCUGCGGCUCCAAUUGGUGAAGAGCGGAGUGCCGGUGUAGCACAGACACCGGGAGGCGGGCCGUGGGAUCCCCAGCACAGGUGAGCGACUGUGUGCUGUGCGGGACGAAGAUGGACGCCUGGCGGGAGGUAUAACCACGGACGGUAUUGAUUGAGUGCCCAGCCGCUAAUUCAGCCGCCUAUCCUAAGUCGCCAACUGCAGCCGCAAACACUGGUUAUAUAGCGUGGAUAUCCAGCUGCUAAUUCAGCCACCUAUCCCAAGCUGCCGGCUGCAGCCGCUAACACUUUUUGUGUAGUGUGGAUCCCCAGUACAAGUGAAACAGCUGAGGACUGUAAGGAACGGGGACAGAGAUCGGGCAGUGCAGCUACGGACAGUGACGGCAUCCACAGAGCCACCCACCGGUGACAGGUGAUGUAACUUCAGGAUGAUGAUGGGCGGCUGCGACCGAAAGUGGAUGACCCGGAAGCUGGCGCGGCGUGCAUGGAUGGAUGGCUGUGGGGUCCGGAGGGGAUAGUCCUUCAAUUGGGGAUUUGAUCACGAGAAGAUGGAUAAUUCUGCAAAAUACCCUCUCACCAGAUUCACCCAAUAUAACAGCAUCACUCGUUAACUAAC